AUUAACUAGAUACUGACCCGCGCUGUGCGCGGAUAUUGUUUUUGUAAAUUUUUAUUAGAAUUAUUCAUAUUAAUCAUGGGCAUUUGGUUUUUGGUUUCAGUUACCUGGUUCUAUUUUAGAGCUUUAAGAUCCAUUCGGAUUUUUAGAAAAUUUGAUUUUGUUCUGGUUCUUAUUUUUUGGUUUUCAGUUUGGGUAACAAAAUUCAGAAUCAGCUAAUAUCCGAGAUAAUUUUAGAUUCUAUUCGGUUCCGGUAAUAUUCUAUUUUUCUGUUAAUUUGAUUUAAAAAUCAUAAAAUUCGGGUAUUUUAUAUUAUUAAAUAUCAGGUUUUUGGUUUUCGGAUAAAAAAAAUUGGAUAAUUCAGUGACGUUUAUAUUUUGAUAAAAAUAUUCCGGUGAUUCAGAUUUUUGUGUAUUUUGUUUUUAAAUAAUAUUUUUAAAUUAUUUGAGAUUAGAUAAUUUCAUUUUGAGUUUUUAUUUAUAAUAUACUUCUUCCUUACAAUUUACGUUUUUUGGAGAACUCCUUAUAAUUUAAUUUUGUUUUGUUGUUAAGACUUGUCAUGAAUAUAUGCAAACAUUUGGUUGUUUGCCUUUUUUUUUAAUUUAAUCAAACGAAUAUAAACACCUUUGGACCAUAUGAUCAAAUUGAUAGGCGUAAUGGACCCAUUAAUUUGGAAGGAAUUAAACUUUUAGUCUAAUGAAAUUGGUCCAUUAGUUACAGAAAACCAAGAAAAACAAAAUAAAGCCCAAAGUUAUAUUUUUUUCCGGGAAGGUGAACAACUUUAACGUGUCGAAAAAAAAAAACUUAACAACUUUACUUUUUUGGUCUUCUCUGUCGGUAAUCACGUCCUCUUAAUCGUCUUCUCGAUAACAACAAACAAAAUCUGUUGAAACUAUCCCUGUUUGCUGAUGAGAAAUUCAAAAUCGUUCACUCUAUCAUCUUCACAAUCGAUCUACUGUCAUUAAGGUAGAAUUGUUUUUGUCUGUAUACUAUCAUAUUAAACGAUCAGGGUUAUAUCAAACCUCCAAAUUAGUUUGGUAUCUUGAUGUGAUAGAUCUUUAUACUCUAUUUGUAGAUCGAGCAUGACUAUGACCUUUCAAGGCAUGACUAUAGAAAAUAUGAGGCGAACGAAGAUGUUUUAUAGUGAUUUGGUUAUAAAAUUAGGUUUAAUGGUAUUGAUAAAAAUAUUGUGAAUUCAAAAAAAAAAAAAAGAGAUCUAUAGCAUAUUCCGAUUUUCAUAUUUUUUAGGAGCUGUUAAAGGUAGUUUAGAUAUUCAGUUUUUGUUUGCAAGUCACGUUAGAUUAAUGUAUUGUGAAGAUAUUCUGAAUAAAAAUGAAAUAUAUCUAUAGCAUAUUCUGGUUUUCAUAUUUUAUAGGAUUCGUUUGCAAGACACGUUAGUUUAAAUUUGCUAAAAUCUCCCUAUUGAUGUGGUUAGAGUAUUUUAGUUUACGAUUUAUAAUCUAAAAAUAUCUGAAUGAGACCAUUGAUAUGACUGGAAGUGUUUAAUUGAAAUUUUGGUUUUAAUAGAUCAAACUAAACAUAUGUAAUAUAAACAGUGACCAUAAUAACCGGGCCUCGUGGUCUGAUAGUAAAGGAACCUCGGCUGAGGUGCUCGCCAUCACGAGUUCGAGCUCCGGCCACAACGGAUUUAACAUGGUUUCCGUUUGGCCUCCAGGACCUUUCUCGCCAGUUCCGGUUGGACGCGGUGGAAUAGUCGGACUAAGUGAGAGGUCCGGAUACCUGGAUUAUCAAAAAAAAAAAAAAACAGUGACCAUAAUCAAAACUCUAUAUGAGAGUAGCUUGUCUGCAAUGUAUAUUGUUGUUUUAAAUCGUUUUUUUUUCACCUAUUAGAAUGUUCUGUACGUUGAAAGAUGAACCAAAUAACUCAUAAUCUGACAUUAAAGUUAUUAUAUCUAAUAAUAUAUCGUGUAAGUUUGGAUGGUUUUGUACGGUAGAGUUUGGUUUAAUUAAAUUCAACGGGUUAUGUUAUUUAUUUAACAUAUCAUUUAAUUUUGGAAGGGCUUAGUAUAUUAGAUGUUGGUCUAGUUAAAGUGAACCGGUUAUGUUAUUUAAACAGCGUGUAUAUAGUUAUUAUGAUAACAAACUUAUACGGGUCCAAUAUAUAAGGUAGCCUAGUAAGGAAACUGAAAGAGUCCAAAAUUUAAAAUGAACUUUUUUGGGUAGAUAAAAAAUAGGACUCUGUUUUAAUAAAUUAGAUGUCUUCCUUCCAAUUUUAUAGGAAAGUAGUUAUUAUAGUCAAGAAUAUAUGAGGUGAUUUAGUAAUGAUGCCAAAAUGUUAUAAGAAAUAAAUGAAAUAUAACUUUCUAGAAAUGGUCUAUUUUUUAAAAUAUCAUACAUAAAUCAAUGUUGUGAUUUCUGUUUUAAUAUAUAAGAUUAGAGAAAAACUGUUUAAUCCCACAAAGUCUCAAUAGUCCUAACGUUAAUAAGACCCUAAUUUUGUUAUAAAUACACAAUUAACACAAGAUAAACCACACAAAAGGUAAAUUAUAACAUGCAAACACAAUUACUUUUUUCCCAAAAUUAUAAAAUAUCAUAAAUUCAAAAAGAAAUUUCACUUAUAAUGAUCGAUGUUAACCUCCAUCCAAAAAUGAUUGGGUAAAAAAGUGAUGGUAACAGAUUUAUUUGGACCACUAAAUACGUUAAUAUAACCUCCUUCUAACAAAUAUGUAAAAGCCGUUAAAAAAAACAAAUACGUAAAUGUAAUUAGUACCUUGUUAAUUGGAAUACAUUUUCGGUACUGAUAAAUUUAUCGCUAUUUUUAGGCAACAUUUUCCAUUUUAUCACCAGCUCCUAAUAUUUCUAACUAUAUAUAUGUUUCUGUAAAAAUGUUAUAUAACAUUAGUUGAAUCUUUUUGAGAAUUUGGUUAUGAAUUCGAGAAUUUAGAACCUAACACUAAUUUUGUGAGAGAAAAUCAAUGGGUUUAUUCGUUCUUGUGGAUCUCUACUUCACCAAACUUUCAUAUGGAUUGUACCACUUUAGUGUCUAACGUAUUAGCAGAAGGUGCCAGUGAUGGCUCCAAGAAUAGUCUAACCUUAGUCCUUUUUUUUGUCUAAAGCCUAUUAUUAAUAACGUAAAGGAACAGUUAAUUAAUAAUUAGUUCACACGAGAUUUACGUAAGAUUAACGUCUCAUAAAUUCAUAAUACCAUGAUCGAACCUAUGACUAAAAACACAGCAACCACUUAAAUUUGAGUAUUUUCCGAUUUAUCCAUCUCAUUUGACUCUUCAGUCUAUGGAUAUAUUGACCCUACCUACUGAAAGCUGUUUGUGUAGAGAACUCAUAAUCGUAGAGUAGACUUUUCAAACAUAAAUGUAUAGAAGUAUAUAUGUUAAGGGCGUUGCAUGGAUUGACUAACUUGAACCCCGGACUCGCACUAUAAAUAGGCGCUAAAUGAUACGAUUCAAACAUAUAAAAAAAACUCAAAAGUAUUAUUUCACGAAAAUGUAUGGGGUUAGGAUGUUAGCAUCAUCACCAAUCUUGCUGUUUCUUCUCAGCCUUCUAAUGGCUUCCUACUUCGACACCACGUGCUUACUAAUCUUUUAAGCUUAUGUAGCAUCCAUUAAUCAUCUUCUAUAUAUUGAUUAUAGUUUAUUGCAUGACAAUUUUAUUACUAG
rnacentral:lncRNA from 1 species